rnacentral:rRNA from 1 species
GAUGAACGCUAGCUACAGGCUUAACACAUACAAGUCGAGGGGAAACGACAUCGAAAGCUUGCUUUUGAUGGGCGUCGACCGGCGCACGGGUGAGUAACGCGUAUCCAACCUGCCCACCACUUGGGGAUAACCUUGCGAAAGUAAGACUAAUACCCAAUGAUAUCUCUAGAAGACAUCUGAAAGAGAUUAAAGAUUUAUCGGUGAUGGAUGGGGAUGCGUCUGAUUAGCUUGUUGGCGGGGUAACGGCCCACCAAGGCAACGAUCAGUAGGGGUUCUGAGAGGAAGGUCCCCCACAUUGGAACUGAGACACGGUCCAAACUCCUACGGGAGGCAGCAGUGAGGAAUAUUGGUCAAGGGACGAGAGUCUGAACCAGCCAAGUAGCGUGCAGGAAGACGGCCCUAUGGGUUGUAAACUGCUUUUAUAAGGGAAUAAAGUGAGUCUCGGGAGACUUUUUGCAUGUACCUGAUGAAUAAGGACCGGCUAAUUCCGUG